GUCUUCUUAGGAUGAUCAAAAACCCCCUCUGGAUUGCUCACAUAGUAGAACAAGCGGAGGUUGCCUGUUGUUUUAUGGCUUCAUCUCAAGCAUCGCACAGCCUUAAGACUCUGCAUGGAAUGUCCAUGUGCAUCUGGUCAGAUCCUCUCUGCCUCCAGUACUGUGAGUUGGAGAAACCUUUGUUCUUUAUAACUCAUUCAGUCUGAAGUGUUUGAUGAUAGCAAAAGGAAAUGGAAUGAGUGGAAGAGGACAGGGGAGUAACAUGUGGCAGGAGGUGGUGAGAGAGUCAGAAAUGCAGGGAUCUAAGCCAGUUCCAGAGACUCCCGUGGAUGGAGACCAGGAAACAAGAUACUCUGCCCCAUAAGAAGAAUGGAAGUUUGGGGAGAUGCCCCAUCAGGGGUGGCCAGAGGCUAUGACCCUAGAGGGCAUCUCUGUCUCGAGCAAAGUUUGUUUGCCAAAGAGCUUCCAUGUCUUUAUCUUGAUGUGAGCCAAGAGGCUGAAUUCGUUGCAAACUCAACAUGAAAUGAUUUCAGAAAACAAGCUUCCCCAGAAACAGGAGCAGACAGACGGGCCUCGUGGUCAUCAGGAAGUAAAAUGGUUGCUAACCAUUGACUGCUCCUCAAAUAAGCAUUCCUCAGAGAAAGACCUCCUGCAAGAUUUGCCUCUCUACACCUGUGUCAAUCUGCACUUCAGUGGUGACAUAGACCAGGGCAUUCUGAAUGUCCCAUGGAUUCCUGGGGGCCAGGUGGACAGCAUCGUCUGCUUUGUAGCCAACUACCUCCCAGUGCAUUGGUUAUCGGAUGCAAGCUCCUGACUGAGAGGAGAGGCAUGCUCACAGUAUCGGUGCAGACCGUGGAUCUUGCCUUGGGUGAGCACUCUCAGCAGGAGUUGGAGGUUUGCUGGUUGUGUAAAAGCUCACUCGUAGUCGUGUGUGUGUGGGUUGACUGUUCUAGCUUCUGAUCUAAUUUGAUGAAAGACACUGGAUGAUUUUAUUUGCUUAUUCAUCAGCGUGUUUCAUCCUGAAGACCGAUAAGAAGGUUGGGUGAGCAGGGAAACACUCGCCAUGAUGUUGUUUGGCCAUUCAUAUAGCGUACUCACACGUGAUGCUGGCCCCCAACCCUGGAGAAGUUUCUUUGCAGAUGGAUGAACAGUCUACAAAUGAAGGAAUAAUUGCCAGUGCAGAACAGUGCUGUGAAGGUCCUAAAAAUGGGGACAGCAUGUGGGAUGGCCCACUAAGAGGUAUAGUGAGGAAGACUCUGGGGAGGAAAGCCAUUGCUGAGAUGUGCCCGUGAGAAAGCAGUUUGUCCUGUAGCGAGCUUCAGAAGAAGCAGAAAGAGGGCAUGGAUGGAGACCUGGUGGUGGGAAGACCUUUCUGUGCUUUAAGUACUAAGGUCAGACCCACGAACCUCAUCUCUCUCCUCUCCUCUCCUCUCUCAGAGUAGGCUUCUCCUCCACAGGGUCAGAUGGUCGGCUAUCAACUUAAGGAGCUACCAUGCAGAGUGACAGCUAUGGGAGCAACAGCAGGUUUAUGGCCAUGGCUCAGGGGAGGAACGACCUCAGAUGUGACUGAAUUCAGUGCUCAUGUCAGAGCAAUACUGAUGGGGAAAACAACAUAUAUACUUGUGUAUACACACACACACACACACACACACACACACACACACACACACACUGCUCCCUAAGGCGUCCAAGGUGAGAUAAGCAUGAGAAAGGCUGGUCUAAACAUUAAUCAGUAAGUUUAUUUACUGCAGCCCCACUCAGAGCUAUGAAGUUGCUGAUAUGCCCUGGGAAUGUUGAGUGGGAUGUGGCCAGCAGCAUAGCCCAAGUGCCUUUGACCACAGAACCCUCCUUCAGGGACACUUAUUAACACAGCUCGGAUGGAGUACUCUAAGGAACUUGCUCUGAGAAAUGUGGAUCGUGGCAAAGUCUUAUUUAUAGAGAGGGAAACAGAAACCCAGAAAGGGAGAGGGGCUAGAAACGGUCCCAUAGUUUUGUCGUGGUAUAAGCUAGGUCGUCCAUCCCAUUCUGAAUGUGUCUGUUAUAUCACCGGACGACGUAUGCUCACACCUGACGUGACCCCUCCCCCUGAUGCUCAUUGCCAAUGUUUUGGAAUGCAAGCAGCCAGCCAGAGACAUCCAGCUUUCUGAGGGACUGUUCACUCCCCUAGGGACACUAAGUUCAUAUGGUCAUCCUUGUAACAGUUGUGGAGGUCUCCCUAGGUGCCGUGCGAUCUGUAGAAACAGCAAAUGCUGUGGAGAGAUGGUGUCCUGGUAAGUUUCUUUCAGCGUGACACAAACCAAAACAUACCUGGGAAGAGGAAUUCUUAAUUU
rnacentral:lncRNA from 1 species